AGGCGGUGGCGACGUCCAGCCUGAGAACCUCAAGAGAGGGAGGUGACGGGACGCUGAGAGGAAGAGACCUGGGAAAUUAAGUUUCUUGCGGAGUACGGUGGGGAUUGCAGCUGCUGAGCAGGGAUUCUGGAAAGCAUUGAGUACCUGAGCCCCCAGCAUGGCGGGCCUAAAGCGGCGGGCAAGCCAGGUGUGGCCAGAAGAGCAUGGUGAGCAGGAACAUGGGCUAUACAGCCUGCACCGCAUGUUUGACAUCGUGGGCACUCAUCUGACACACAGAGAUGUGCUGCAGCUGCUGCGCAUCAUCACUCGCCACGACCUGCUGCCCUACGUCACCCUCAAGAGGAGACGGGCUGUGUGCCCUGAUCUUGUAGACAAGUAUCUGGAGGAGACAUCAAUUCGCUAUGUGACCCCCAGAGCCCUCAGUGAUCCAGAACCAAGGCCUCCCCAGCCCUCUAAAACAGUGCCUCCCCACUAUCCUGUGGUGUGUUGCCCCACUUCGGGUCCUCAGAUGUGUAGCAAGCGGCCAGCCCGAGGGAGAGCCACACUUGGGAGCCAGCGAAAACGCCGGAAGUCAGUGACACCAGAUCCCAAGGAAAAGCAGACAUGUGACAUCAGACUGCGGGUUCGGGCUGAAUACUGCCAGCAUGAGACUGCUCUGCAGGGCAAUGUCUUCUCUAACAAGCAGGACCCACUUGAGCGCCAGUUUGAGCGCUUUAACCAGGCCAACACCAUCCUCAAGUCCCGGGACCUGGGCUCCAUCAUCUGUGACAUCAAGUUCUCUGAGCUCACCUACCUCGAUGCAUUCUGGCGCGACUACAUCAAUGGCUCUUUAUUAGAGGCACUUAAAGGUGUCUUCAUCACAGACUCCC
rnacentral:sRNA from 1 species